rnacentral:rRNA from 1 species
UCGGGAAACCGGAGCUAAUACCGGAUAAUAUUUUGAACCGCAUGGUUCAAAAGUGAAAGACGGUCUUGCUGUCACUUAUAGAUGGAUCCGCGCUGCAUUAGCUAGUUGGUAAGGUAACGGCUUACCAAGGCAACGAUGCAUAGCCGACCUGAGAGGGUGAUCGGCCACACUGGAACUGAGACACGGUCCAGACUCCUACGGGAGGCAGCAGUAGGGAAUCUUCCGCAAUGGGCGAAAGCCUGACGGAGCAACGCCGCGUGAGUGAUGAAGGUCUUCGGAUCGUAAAACUCUGUUAUUAGGGAAGAACAUAUGUGUAAGUAACUGUGCACAUCUUGACGGUACCUAAUCAGAAAGCCACGGCUAACUACGUGCCAGCAGCCGCGGUAAUACGUAGGUGGCAAGCGUUAUCCGGAAUUAUUGGGCGUAAAGCGCGCGUAGGCGGUUUUUUAAGUCUGAUGUGAAAGCCCACGGCUCAACCGUGGAGGGUCAUUGGAAACUGGAAAACUUGAGUGCAGAAGAGGAAAGUGGAAUUCCAUGUGUAGCGGUGAAAUGCGCAGAGAUAUGGAGGAACACCAGUGGCGAAGCGACUUUCUGGUCUGUAACUGACGCUGAUGUGCGAAAGCGU